AGAAGAAUGCUUUUCUCCUACUAAGUCCCUUGCACCUGCUCCCUUAAAAAAGCAGCAAUGCAAGCAAAUGGAGAACUAUGAGGCUGGAGUGUCCUAGUCCUUUCAGUUGUUCCUAAUUCCCCAUUGGCUUAAAGAGACAUGAGGAGCAUAUGGUCGUUCUGAAUAUCCUCAGAGCAAAAUGGGCAUGUUCAGUAUCUGCUGCCCUGAAGACCUCUGGCCACAGAAAGCCAGGCCUACCUGCCAGACCAGCACAGAUGACUUUCUGAACUCUGCAUAGCUAAGAGCUUGUUUAUG
rnacentral:lncRNA from 1 species